GCAGUGGUGGUUCAUGGUAGAAUUCUUGCUUCCGUGCAGGAGACCUGGGUUUGAUUCCUGGCCAAUGGA
rnacentral:tRNA from 1 species